CGGCCCGUUGGUCAAGCGGUUAAGACACCGGCCUCUCACGCCGGUAACGGGGGUUCGAUCCUCCAGUGCUGA
rnacentral:tRNA from 2 species